UACGACUACAUAUCAGGCAUAUCAAUAAGCGGAGGAAAAGAAACUAACAAGGAUUCCCCUAGUAACGGCGAGUGAAGCGGGAAGAGCUCAAAUUUGAAAUCUUCAAGGUUCUACCUUGACGAAUUGUAGUUUAAAGAAGUGUUUUCGGUUAGAGGAGUAGUAAAAGUUCUUUGGAAUAGGACAUCAUAGAGGGUGAGAAUCCCGUAUUUGACCAUUAUUUCCAGCUUUGUGAUACACUUUCAAAGAGUCGGAUUGUUUGGGAAUGCAGUCCAAAAUGGGUGGUAAAUUUCAUCUAAAGCUAAAUAUUGGCGAGAGACCGAUAGCGAACAAGUACCGUGAGGGAAAGAUGAAAAGAACUUUGAAAAGAGAGUUAAACAGUACGUGAAAUUGUCAAAAGGGAAGCGUUUGACACCAGUGUUGUUUUCUACGAAAAUCAAUUUAUGAUGGCUUGAUGCUAAGCUUUAAGACUUUAUCCGCUUGUUGUUUAGUUUUCUUGUCUUUGUGAAUGCACUUUUCGUGGAACAAGUCAACAUCAAUUUCUUUUGCUGUAAAAGGGUAAGAGGAAGGUGGCUUCGGCUUCGGUUGAAGUGUUUAUAGCCUUUUAUCUCUGCAGUCGGAGAGAUUGAGGUCUGCAGCGUAGACUCUUCGGGGUUAGAUACGUCGGUGCUAAGCUAUAGCUUUUCAUAGACAACUUGUUGACUAUGUUUAGUCAUGUGGCUUACCCGCUGGCGCUAUUUUACCUACGCUUAGGAUGUUGACACACGCGCGUGCUCG
rnacentral:rRNA from 1 species